rnacentral:rRNA from 1 species
UACGUAGGGGGCUAGCGUUGUCCGGAAUCAUUGGGCGUAAAGAGCGUGUAGGCGGCCCGGUAAGUCCGCUGUGAAAGUCGGGGGCUCAACCCUCGAAUGCCGGUGGAUACUGUCGGGCUAGAGUGCGGAAGAGGCGAGUGGAAUUCCUGGUGUAGCGGUGAAAUGCGUAGAUAUCUGGAGGAACACCGGUGGCGAAGGCGGCAUCCUGGACCAACACUGACGCUGAGGAGCGAAAGCGUGGGGAGCGAACAGG